CAUGCAAGUCGAACGCGAAAGAGUUCUUCGGAACUUGAGUAGAGUGGCGCACGGGUGAGUAACGCGUAAAUAAUCUACCCUGAUGUUUGGGAUAACCAGCCGAAAGGCUGACUAAUACCGGAUACAUGAUUAGCUGUUGGGCUANUCAGGAAAGGUGGCCUCUUCUUGAAAGCUUCCGCAUUGGGAUGAGUUUGCGUACCAUUAGCUAGUUGGUGGGGUAAAGGCUCACCAAGGCAACGAUGGUUAGCGGGUCUGAGAGGAUGAUCCGUCACACUGGCACUGGAACACGGGCCAGACUCCUACGGGAGGCAGCAGUGAGGAAUAUUGCGCAAUGGGGGAAACCCUGACGCAGCGACGCCGCGUGAGUGAGGAAGGCCUUCGGGUCGUAAAGCUCUGUCAGCAGGGAANAAGUGUUAUACGGUUAAUACCCGUAUAAUUUGACGGUACCUGCNNNNGAAGCACCNGCUAACUCCGUGCCANCAGCCNCGGUAAUACGGAGGGUGCAANCGUUGUUNNNAUCACNGGGGCGUAAAGGGCGCGCAGGCGGUCUUAUUAGUCNNNNGUGAAAGCCCANNCUUAACCCGUGGGAAGUGCAUUUGAAACUGUAAACUUNANUAUCNANG
rnacentral:rRNA from 1 species